rnacentral:lncRNA from 1 species
AGCUCCUCUUUUGGCUUUUCAUCUUUCCAUACCAUGAGAAUGGCAACUGCAUGACAGAAACACGAGUCCAGGAUGGAGAAACAGGUUCUAUGAUGUUAUAGCCGGGACCCUGCACAACUGAGGAAUGCAUCCAGCAUUUGAUGAAGGAGUGAAUCUGGUCACACAGGGAUGAAUAUACACAGGGGAUAUUUCUCUGCAAAUGAGGUGUUACAUAUAUCUAACUCCACAGUCUAUGGAAAGAAAAUAAAUUCAAGUAAUGGGGGAAAAGAGGAUAAAAUCAGAACAAUUGGAUUUUCUGUUGCUGGUCAGAUGCAGCCUGUGAGUCAAUGGGAAAGUGAGGGAGGCAGCCUAUUUUCCUGCCACUAUUGACAGCUCAGCACCCCGAGCAGCUGCACUGUCCCCAGACAUUUGGCAAAGUUGCCUUCAGGAUUAUUUCUGUUCUCAUCAUCAAACCCCUUUAUCCUAUCAACCUAUUAGCAAUUGGAUACUUUGCUUUAUGUUCAGUUAUGUUCCCAGAGAAAGAACAAGUUAUAAAAGUGCCUCUCGGACUAACAUCUAAUGUAUUUCUUGAUGAAUUGCAGCCUGGUAGACUACAUGGAAGGUUUUGAAAAGUAAAGUCUAUAAAGCUUUUCAAUAAAAUAAUGCUGUAAUAUACUUUUCUCUCCA